rnacentral:lncRNA from 1 species
CAGGGGGUGCUGGGGCUGGCCCUGCCCUAGAGCUUGCACAGCUUCAGCCCCCAAGAUGUGGGAGCAACUCAGUCUUGCAGGGCACGGUACAUCCACAGAGGUCUCAGAACAGGUACCUGAGAAUCCCACUCAAGCCUCAUGAUCUACUUCUGCUACUCCAAUCAUCAAUUACUACUGAGCUUUUGCUAUCUGAGUUGCCCAUCCACGCUGCUGUAUUGUCUUUGUUAAAAGAUGCUGUUAACCAACAACUGGGACCUCUACAACAGUGCACAAGGAGGAUUGGCUCACAAGGUCCCUGCUCCAGGCUAGAGCAGCCAGUGGAAGCACCAACACCAGUAUCACAAAGGUUCAAAGGUUGCUGAGCACAGAAGUUUCUGAAAAUAA